CGGGGGGGGGCAAGCGUUGUUCGGAAUUACUGGGGCGUAAAGGGCGCGCAGGCGGCCCGGCCAGUCCUACGUGAAAUCCCACAGCUCAACUGUGGAACUGCGUGGGAUACUGCCAGGCUUGAGUCCCGGGAGAGGAGAGUGGAAUUCCCAGUGUAGCGGUGAAAUGCGUAGAUAUUGGGAGGAACACCGGUGGCGAAGGCGGCUCUCUGGACCGGCACUGACGCUGAGGCGCGAAAGCUAGGGGAGCAAACGGGAUUAGAUACCCCGGUAGUCCUAGCCCUAAACGAUGAGCACUUUGUGUGGCGGGUAUCGACCCCUGCCGUGCAGAAGCUAACGCAUUAAGUGCUCCGCCUGGGGAGUACGGUCGCAAAGGCUG
rnacentral:rRNA from 1 species